GGACCAAUAUGUCGGUCGUGCUUUUGUACGUACUGAUAUAAUUGGUUUCUCCCUUCUGAAGAACCUUGAUGUCAUUAAUUUGGUGUCUUGGGGAAUCAGGACUGUUACUUUGAAAAAUUAGAGUGUUUAAAGCAGGCUCGCGCUUGAAUACAUUAGCAUGGAAUAAUGAAAUAGGACGUUUGAUUCUAUUUUGUUGGUUUCUAGGAUCGACGUAAUAAUU
rnacentral:rRNA from 1 species